rnacentral:lncRNA from 1 species
CUGGCACACCACGCAUAUCCAAUUAAGCAGAAGAAGGUGCCUGACUGCAUGAGUGUCAUCCCAUUGAAUCUUCUGGGAGGUCCUACAAGCUGGGAGCCUCGGGAAGAAGAGUGGUGGGGCCUCCUGGGAGCUGGGCAUGGGGCUCCCCAUCAGUUCCAGCUCUGACCUCUCUGGGCUGUUCAGGCAAAGGCAGCAGUUGCUAAUGAAGACACUGGAGGACAGCGUGGCUUAGUCAGCACAGGAAGGAAAUGACUUAGUGCAGCCGGGUGCUGGCAGGCGACCACAGCAGGGGCAGGCAGCCCAUAAGACCAGCACAGCCAGGAGGCCACACUCCCCCGCCCCACCCUGGGCUUGCCUUCUUUGCCCCUCUCCCUUCACCACCCUCCACAGCCAAUUUGCUUGUCAUCACCCACCUUUUUGUGUUUAACCCGUCAGCUCUUCCUACCUCAUUCACUAUUUUUUUUUGUUUGUUUUAAUUAAGGUCGAAUGCAUGUCACACAAAGUUAACCAUUUUAAGGUGAACAGUUUCAGGGGCAUUGACAAUGUCGUGCAGCCACCACCUCUGUCUCAUUCCAAAACAUUUUCAUCGCUGCAAAGUAAAACCUGGACCCACUGAGCAGUUCCUCCUCACUCCCCCAUCCCUACCCCUACCAAUCUACUUUCUGUGUCUAUGGAUUCACUGAUUCUAGAUACUUCAUAUAAACGGAGUCAUAAAAUA